UAUUUAUUUUAAAAUAAACCUUAUGCCUAGAUAUCUAUAUCUAAAUUUUCCAAAUGUAUUUUCAGAAGUUCGAAUGAGGAGAUGGAGAUGGCUGGGCCAUGUCCUUCGCAUGAGCAAAAGAUGACUCCCCAACAUGGCACUGGAAAACGAAAGAGAGGAAGACCACUGGGAACAUGGAGGAGAUAGAUGGAAGAAGAAGUGCAAGCUGCUGGCAAGACCUGGCAUGAACUAAAGUGGCUCGCCCAAGACAGAGUGGAAUGGCAGGGAUUUGUUGCUGCCCUAUACUCCACAGGGAGUGAUGAGGAUUAAAGAAAGCAGACACAGAUCCAGUGUUGGAAGAGGAAGUAUUUUACAUAAAAGAAAAAAAAAACAACAGAUGUCAAAGCAGGUAUUGGCUGGUGCAGAAACAGCAUGAAAGGAUUUUUGUAUCUUUCCUGGACUGAUGACUUUCAUUCAACCUGAUCAUUUUUUUAUUUGCAUCAACUAAAACUUGUUAUAUAAAUCACUUUGUUGUACUCACACCUUAAACUUAAACCCAUUAUUACUUUUGUACUUUUCAUUGAUAAUUGAAAUUUAUAUAA